rnacentral:rRNA from 1 species
CAGCAGCAGCCGCGGGAAUACAGAGGGUGCGAGCGUUAAUCGGAUUUACUGGGCGUAAAGCGUGCGUAGGCGGCUUUUUAAGUCGGAUGUGAAAUCCCUGAGCUUAACUUAGGAAUUGCAUUCGAUACUGGGAAGCUAGAGUAUGGGAGAGGAUGGUAGAAUUCCAGGUGUAGCGGUGAAAUGCGUAGAGAUCUGGAGGAAUACCGAUGGCGAAGGCAGCCAUCUGGCCUAAUACUGACGCUGAGGUACGAAAGCAUGGGGAGCAAACAGGAUUAGAUACCCGUGUAGUCCCUGUCUCUUAUAC